GGAGUUGAUUACAGCAGGAUAAAUUCCAAACAGCAUAAGUGCAGGAAAUCACUGGCUCUUGUAGUGCAAUAAAUUUGUGUAUUCUAGCGGAGUCAAAUUGAGCGAGGGAUGUACAUGUUAUGUUAUAAAGAUAUUACCAAUAUUUGUUUCAACUCAUUCGUGUUUUUUGUUAGGUAUUUAAAAAAAAAAAAAAAAAAAACAACAAAAUAUACAUGGUUCUAGAAAACACUUGCCCUGAAUAAGCCAGC
rnacentral:lncRNA from 1 species